rnacentral:rRNA from 1 species
AUUGAACGCUGGCGGCAUGCCUUACACAUGCAAGUCGAACGGUAACAGGUCUUCGGAUGCUGACGAGUGGCGAACGGGUGAGUAAUACAUCGGGACGUGCCUAGUAGUGGGGGAUAACUACUCGAAAGAGUGGCUAAUACCGCAUGAGAUCUACGGAUGAAAGCAGGGGAUCGCAAGACCUUGUGCUACUAGAGCGGCCGAUGGCAGAUUAGGUAGUUGGUGGGAUAAAAGCUUACCAAGCCGACGAUCUGUAGCUGGUCUGAGAGGACGAUUAGCCACACUGGGACUGCGACACGGCGCAGACUCCUACGGGAGGCAGCAGUGGGGAAUUUUGGACAAUGGGCGCAAGCCUGAUCCAGCAAUGCCGCGUGCAGGAUGAAGGCCUUCGGGUUGUAAACUGCUUUUGUACGGAACGAAAAGCCCCGGGUUAAUACCCUGGGGUCAUGACGGUACCGUAAGAAUAAGCACCGGCUAACUACGUGCCAGCCGCCGCAGUAA